rnacentral:rRNA from 1 species
GGGCCCGCACAAGCAGUGGAGCAUGUGGUUUAAUUCGAUGAUACGCGAGGAACCUUACCUGGGCUCGAAUGGUAUUGGCUGAUAGCUGAAAGGCUGUUUUCCUUCGGGACUGAUAUCAAGGUGCUGCAUGGCUGUCGUCAGCUCGUGCCGUGAGGUGUUGGUUAAGUCCCGCAACGAGCGCAACCCCUAUUCCUAGUUGCCAGCGGUUCGGCCGGGGACUCUAAAGAAACUGCCCGCGCAAGCGGUGAGGAAGGUGGGGAUGACGUCAAAUCAUCACGGCCCUUACGUCCUGGCCACACACGUGCUACAAUGGCCGGUACAGAGAGCAGCCACGUCGCAAGGCGGAGCGAA